rnacentral:tmRNA from 1 species
CGGCUUGUCAAAGGGCGCGGGCGGGGCCAUAUGAGGAUCGCCGGGUUCGCCCGGCUAUGGUGAUAAAUCGUGUCGUACAAUAGGCGCAGCGGACCCGGGGGCAGUACCCGGCGGCUCCACCACCUUCCUCGCUUACGGCGGGGAAUAUGACGGGGCCGAACUAGGAUCGACGUGUGUUGAAAGGCGAUGCUUUUACCCGGCCCGUGUAAGCCGUUAAACUGUGCAAAACUCACAAGUGCCAACGAUAACGAAGCACUCGCCAUUGCAGCGUAAUUGAG